AGGGCACCACCAGGAGUGGAGCCUGCGGCUUAAUUUGACUCAACACGGGAAAUCUCACCAGGCCCGGACACCGGAAGGAUUGACAGAUUGAGAGCUCUUUCUUGAUUCGGUGGGUGGUGGUGCAUGGCCGUUCUUAGUUGGUGGAGCGAUUUGUCUGGUUAAUUCCGAUAACGAACGAGACUCUGGCCUACUAACUAGACGUUGGAUCCCUUUGUGGGUCCAUCGCAGCUUCUUAGAGGGACGGGCGGCGUUUAGCCGCACGAGAUUGAGCAAUAACAGGUCUGUGAUGCCCUUAGAUGUUCUGGGCUGCACGCGCGCUACACUGAAGGAAUCAGCGUGUGUUCCCUACCCGAAAGGGUUGGGAAACCCGUUGAACCUCCUUCGUGAUGGGGAUUGGGGAUUGCAAUUAUUCCCCAUGAACGAGGAAUUCCCAGUAGGCGCGAGUCAUAAGCUUGCGUCGAUUACGUCCCUGCCCUUUGUACACACCGCCCGUCGCUACUACCGAUCGAGUGAUUUAGU
rnacentral:rRNA from 1 species